rnacentral:lncRNA from 1 species
GCGGGUGUUUCGAUAACGGGGAGGAGCUCUGCCGGACCUGCAUCAGCAUUAGGACGGUGAUGCUAGGGCAUAACCACGGCCAGACUUUGGCUGCGCAGGAAACUUUGGCUAAGUUAGUCAGAAUGAGAAGCAAGAUAUGAAUAAUCAGUCGCCGGAAAGCAUAAAUUGGCGGCGCAAUUUUGUUCACAGUGUAAUGUAAUAUCAUGCUGCCAUUGUUACUAUGCUAAUUACCCAAAAAAAAAAAAAAAAAAAAAAAAAAAAAAAAAAAAAAUCAGAGUUUCACUUACACGUUUUGCAUCAGUUCAAAUUGCACCGGAAUCGUGGUAGGGUUCAUAAUUUAGCACGUAAUUUGAAAUUGAUCGGCCGGCGUAAACAAUAAACGAAACUCUACUCCGGCGACUGUACCAAAACCUAGUGCAUUUUCGGAUUGCUGUAAGAAAAUUAACUCUGAAUAUCAAAUUAAAAAGCACAAAAUAGGGAAAGUAGGAAGAUAUGGAACGAUGCCGUCUGAAUUGGUAGCGACGGCGGGAUUCUAAGCAAAACUCCACCGGACCGCCACCGCCACGAGGAGUGGAGGGAGCAAUGGGCGUCUGUCGGAGAUAAUCGAGCCGUGUUCAGAAAACGGUGUCGUUUUGGUCCGGGAUAAGUACUGGAUUUGUG